CAUUACCGAAUCGUCGACACGAGUUGUUGCUGGCCUUCAAGCGGGGGCAUGUGCACGCUCUGUUUGCAUCCACUCACACCUGUGCACCCUUUGUAGUUCUGCGGCAUGGGAGAUCCCGUCUCCCUUCUGUGGUUCUGCGUCUUUACACACACACUGUAACAUGGUCUUAUGGAAUGUAAGCGGCGUUUAACGCAAUACAAUACAACUUUCAGCAACGGAUCUCUUGGCUCUCGCAUCGAUGAAGAACGCAGCGAAAUGCGAUAAGUAAUGUGAAUUGCAGAAUUCAGUGAAUCAUCGAAUCUUUGAACGCACCUUGCGCCCUUUGGCUAUUCCGAAGGGCAUGCCUGUUUGAGUAUCGUGAACACCUCAACUCCUCACGGUUUGCCGUGAUGAGCUUGGACUUUGGAGGUUUUGCUGGCCCACGGUCUGCUCCUCUCAAAUAAAUUAGCUUGCCAGUGCAUGGCAGCGCCACAGGUAUGAUAACUAUCUGCGCUCGUGGUUGCAUGCCAGAUAACCUUCGGCAUUGAAGGUUUGCUGGGGCUCAUAAACGUCUCUCCUCAGUGAAGACAGCUUUUGAACGUUUGAUCUCAAAUCAGGUAGGACUACCCGCUGAACUUAAGCAUAUCAAUAAGCGGAGGAAAAGAAACUAACAAGGAUUCCCCUAGUAACUGCGAGUGAAGCGGGAAGAGCUCAAAUUUA
rnacentral:rRNA from 1 species